ACUCAAAUGAAUUGACGGGGGCCCGCACAAGCGGAGGAACAUGUGGUUUAAUUCGAUGAUACGCGAGGAACCUUACCCGGGCUCGAACGGCAGAGGAAUAUAUAAGAGAUUAUAUAGCCGCCAGGUCUCUGUCGAGGUGCUGCAUGGUUGUCGUCAGCUCGUGCCGUGAGGUGUCGGCUUAAGUGCCAUAACGAGCGCAACCCUUGUCGUCAGUUGCCAUCAAGUGAAGUUGGGGACUCUGGCGAGACUGCCACCGUAAGGUGCGAGGAAGGGGGGGAUGACGUCAAAUCAGCACGGCCCUUACGUCCGGGGCGACACACGUGUUACAAUGGCCGGUACAGAGGGACGCUACACAGUGAUGUGAUGCUAAUCUCUAAAACCGGUCUCAGUUCGGAUUGGAGUCUGCAACCCGACUCCAUGAAGUUGGAUUCGCUAGUAAUCGCGCAUCAGCCAUGGCGCGGUGAAUACGUUCCCGGGCCUUGUACACACCGCCCGU
rnacentral:rRNA from 1 species